UGACAACAAAAAAACAAAACAAAACAGAAAACGGAAAACGGACGACGGAGACGGAUUAAAAUGUUGUUUGGAAGAAAAAAGGCUUUUCAAAAUGGAUUAAAGACAGUCGGCAAAAACAAGCCAGUGGUGUUUCAGAGGAUAGGAGACAUGAAGGUGCAGGAUGAGUAGAGACAAGCCAGCAGAAAGGUGGAGCAGAGGUAACUGUGUAUGAAGUACGACAAACUACUGGCUGAUGGACCUCGCGGCAGCUACCUCUUGAGACUCCUCCUUCUUGGGCAGGUACUCAGCAGUGCUGCUCCACACCUGUGCCGCGUUGGGUAAUCACGCAGACUUCUUAAGCUGACAGCAGACCUUCAGCCUUCGCUGGAUCAUUGACUAAGUCACUAUCCGCUGUGGAAGUUCCUGCGUGUGUUUUCCCUGUCGCCGCCUCGCCCUCUCGUCUCCUAACGCCACUUGUCAACACUGCCUUGCUACCCCCUUGCCGGAGUCUCGCCAGCCUGCUCUCACAUCACCCCAGCCACUGCUCACUCUCUCUGGAUUCCCCUUGGCAAACCUCACGCCAUCAGCCACCGCCCAGCCUGCGCUCGCCAAACCCCUUCAGGAAACUCUCAUUCAAUUCUGCACAAUCAAUAAAUCAAAUUGUCAUCUUUUAAGCGCUGUCUGUGUCCCCUCCUUCUCCAAGUCGUGACAAUUUUACUCAAAGUGGAAGAAAAAAAGAAUUCAAAAACUUGUUGAAGGAUUCAUAUAGUCAGAAAUCAA